UGGGGAAUUUUGCACAAUGGGGGAAACCCUGAUGCAGCGACGCCGCGUGAUUUAGAAGGCCUUCGGGUUGUAAAAAUCUUUUUUAUGGGAUGAAAAUGACAGUACCAUAAGAAUAAGGUCCGGCUAAAUACGUUCCAGCAGCCGCGGUAAUACGUAUGGACCGAGCGUUGUCCGGAAUCAUUGGGCGUAAAGGGUACGUAGGCGGCCCAGUAAGUUAGAAGUGAAAUAAUAUAGCUCAACUAUAUAAAGCUUUUAAAACUGCUAGGCUUGAGAGAUGGAAGGGAAAGUGGAAUUCCUAGUGUAGCGGUGAAAUGCGCAGAUAUUAGGAAGAAUACCGGUGGCGAAGGCGACUUUCUGGUCAUCAUCUGACGCUGAGGUACGAAAGCGUGGGUAGCAAACAGG
rnacentral:rRNA from 1 species